GCCUUGCCUGGGCCGGGGCGAGGCCCUGCGGGAGCCGACUGGGAAGGUCUGGAACUCUGACACCCCGCCCCGCGAGCUGUGCUCUCAGUCUCAUGUCAUCCCACCACAAGGACAGAUAUUAAGUACCAUAUAUGGGAAAAAUGCUAUUUUACAUAAUUAUGAUCCCUGUGGGGGCGGGCAUGGACUCAGCCCUGGAUUCCAUUGUGAGCGUCUUGAGUUCGAUUCCUGACCCUGCCUCUUUAGGAUCCGCACGUUGCUGCCUUUCAGCCUCCAAACCUUCGCUCUGGCCGUUCUCUCCACCUGGAAUACCCUUCCGAGCCUCUCUUCACCUCCAUGUCAUUAACUCGCAUACAUCCUUUCAGGUAUGGUGGCUCACACCUGUUAUCCCAGCACUUUGGGAGGCUGAGACGGGUGGAUCACCUGAGGUCAGGAGUUCGAGACCAGCCUGGCCAACAUGGCGAAACCCCAUCUCUACUAAAAAUACAAAAGUUAGCUGGACGUGGUGGCAUGCACCAGUUAUCCCAGCUACUCAGGAGGCUGAGGCAGGAGAAUCGCUUGAACCCAGGAAGCGGAGGUUGCAGUGAGCUGAGAUCACACAUCUGUAUUCCAGCCUAGGCAACAGAGUGAGACUUCAUCUAAAAAAAAUUAAAAAAUAAAAAGACUCAUGUUGAUGUCACCACUUCCUUUUUUUCUGAGACGGAAUCUCGCUCUGUCACCCAGGCUGGAGUGCAGUGGCGCGAUCUUGGCUCACUGCAACCUCUGCCUCCCGGAUUCAAGCAAUUCUCCUGCCUCAGCCUCCCAAGUAGCUGGGAUUACAGGCAUGUGCCACCAUGCCCGGCUAAUUUUUUUGUAUUUUCAGUAGAGACGAGGUUUCACCAUAUUGGCCAGGCUGGUCUCGAACUCCUGACCUUGUGAUCCACCCGCCUCGACCUCCCAAAGUGCUGGGAUUACAGGUGUGAGCCACCGCGCCCGGCCAGAUGUCACCACUUCUAAAACAUCUUUCCUGACUCUCAAGACCAGUUAGGAACUCCUCCUCUGUACUCCAUUCUCUGGUAUCUAUUCUCUCAUUGUAUUUACACAUUGAGUUUUAAUCAUUCAUUCACUUUCUGCUUUUUCCGCCCAGGCUGGAAGCUGCCUGUGGACAGUCAGGGACUGAGCCCUAUUUGUCUCUCUGGGCCCAGAACUAGCAUAAGGCCUGACAUAAAAUGGCCUUUAGUGAAUGCUUAAGCAGGACUCAGAGAGCCUGUUUCCUUAUCUGCAAAAUGAAUGUGAUCACUGGGCCUGGCCCAGCCCACAGGACUGUUGGGAGGAACACAGGAGACUAUGGACCUGAAAGUGUUUUAUAAACCACUAAGCAAUGCGCACAUACAACAGAGCAUUAUUGGUAUGAUUAUUUUCAUUUUCCUCAUGCCCCCGGCCUCUGAGCAUCACCCUCUCCAGGGAAAACUUAAGGUCACUAAUAAGACAAAAGGCCUCCAUCAGGCAGGCCCUGAAUUCUUUCCUCCCCAUCCCCUAGGCAACAUGAGUCCUUUAGCUAAGGUAGCCCUCUCACUUGCAUAAGCCUAACCCCUUUUCCAGCCUCUAAGAACCUGCACCCUUAAUAGUUUCUACUCCUGUAGAUUUUGAAAAACAUUUCUGGCCAGGCAUGGUGGCUCACGCCUGUAAUCCCAGCACUUUGGGAGGCUGAGGCGGGUGGAUCACGAGGUCAGGAGAUCGAGACCAUCCUGGCUAACAUGGUGAAACCCCGUCUCUACUAGAAAAUACAAAAAAUUAGCCGGGCGUGGUGGCGGGUGCCUGUAGUCCCAGCUACUCGGGAGGCUGAGGCAGGAGAAUGGUGUGAACCCGGGAGGCGGAGCUUGCAGUGAGCCGAGAUCACGCCACCGCACUCCAGCCUGGGCGACAGAGCGAGACUCUGUCUCAAAAAAAAAAAAAAAGAAAAAUAUUUAUUCAUUUUGUCUGAGUAUUAAUACUACGUUCGGUGUGGAGUAUACCAAAAAAAAAAAAAAGAAAAGAAAAAUCACCCAUAAGCUUACAACCCCAUCACAGCUACUAUUAACAAACCUCCUAUGCCAGGCGCGGUGGCUCACGCCUAUAAUCCCAGCACUUUGGGAGGCAGAGGCGGGCAGAUCACUUGAGGUCAGGAGUUCAAGACCAGCCUGGCCAACAUGGCAAAACCCCGUCUCUACUAAAAAUAGAAAAAUUAGCCAGGCAUGGUGACAUGCGCCUGUAAUCCCAGCUACUAGGGAGGCUGAGGCCAGAGAAUCACUUGAACCCGGGAGGCGGAGGUUGCAGUGAGCCGAGAUCACACCACUGCACUCCAACCUGGGCAACAGAGCAAGACUCUUUCAAAAAAAAAAAAAACUCAUUAUUUCCUUCAAAUCUUUACAUGGCUGGGCACAGUGGCUCACACCUGUAAUCCCAGCACUUUGGGAGGCUGAGGCCGGUGGAUCACGAUUUCAGGAGUUCAAGACCAGCCUGGCCAACAUGGUGAAACCCUGUCUCUACUAAAAGUACAAAAAUUAGCCAGGCGUGGUGACACACACCAGUAAUCCCAGCUACUCAGGAGGCUGAGGCAGGAGAAUCACUUCAACCCAGGAGGCGGGGGUUACAGUGAGCCAAGAUCAUCCCAUUGCACUCCAGCCUGGGUGACAGAGUGAGACUCCGUCUCAAAAAAAAUAAUAAUAAAAUAAAAUGAAAUCGAGAGAUCUACAUGUACAUGGUCACCUGACUUAUUAUAAUAGUGUCACUGCAAACAAGUCAGGGUAGAAUGGUCUUUUGAAUAAAUGGUAGUAGGUCAAUUACAUACCCACAUAGGGAAACAUGAAUCGUGACCCGACCACACCAUUAAUGAACAUAGUUUAGGAUGGAUCAGAGACCUAAAUGUAAAAACAAUAAAACAUCUAAAAGAAAGCAUAGGAGAAUAUCAACCGGGCGUGGUGGCUCACGCCUGUAAUCCCAGCACUUUGAGAGACCGAGGUGGGCGGAUCACCUGAGGUCAGGGAUUCAAGACCAGCCUGACCAAUAUGAUGAAACCCUGUCUCUACCAAAAUACAAAAAUUAGCCAGGCAUGGUGGCAUGCGCCUGUAAUCCCAGCUACUCAGGAGGCUGAGGCAGGAGAAUCGCUUAAACCGGGGAGGCAGAGGUUGUAGUGAGCCGAGAUCGCAACAUUGCACUCCAGCCUGGGCAACAAGAGCAA
rnacentral:lncRNA from 1 species